AGCGCACUGAGCCCCAGCCCUGACCUGCCUCGCGAAACACCCUCUCGUGGCCCGCGGAACCACUACUCCUUCCCCCUCUUCCUUCUCUUCUUCUUCUUCUUCUUCUCCUUCUCCUACCACGGAAAUAGCAAUUCCCCACAGCCUGUCCAAGUGUUACCAGUAUAAAGCUAUCACUGCCACUACCAAUCCCCCACGACCUCCCCAACCGUCACACUGUUUUAUGUACUGGCGCGCGCGCGCGUUUAUCCAUGAAUAUUCGAAAAGACGAAAGAAGCUCUGUAUCCUACGGGAGAUGCGAUGCUGCUGCUGCUGCAACUGCAACUGCUUCCUCGAUCGAUCCCUCGUAACGAGCGCAACGCUCCAGUAUUUGACGACGAUGUUCUAUGCACUGGUGGGAUAAUCGUCUUCCUGGGUGAAGAAACUUGAUGCACUCCAAGAGGAGGCUGUAGGGCACAUCGCAUGAGAAAUCGUGAUUCCUAAAGUAUUCUGGAUUCUCUUUAGGUUUAACGAUGUAUGUACUUUGGGGUUAGUUGAGAAACUGAGAAUGAGGUGAAGAGAUAUCGUUAGAUAAGUACUAUCGGUUAAUUAUUGUUUACAACUGCCUUUGCGACCUGCGACAGUCAUUUAUACUGCGAACGUGUCUUGUUUCGCAGUGUAUCUAUUGUUUUAACAGACAUAGCGAGCGAUCGUUUCCAACGAUGAGCUUUGAGUAACUAUAUGAAUUUCUACGGUUCUUACGUCAGGUAGAAUAGUCGCAAUGCGCAAUAUUAAUAAUUUCUCAUAGUACAGAAAUGUGAACUAGGGAAAAACAAAUCAAAAACAAGGACUCAAUACGAAGUAACUCGAAAAUACGGUGCAUAUCUGUAUAUGCAUAAUUGAUAUAUGUAUAAAAUUCCUAUUUAGAAACACCGACAUAAGCCCACGCACAUUCUUUACAUAUUUUAUCAUAUAUUUUAUGAUUCGAACUUUGCGCUAAAAAUUCUUGAGCACCGUACUCACUCUACAUCCUAGGAUAAGAAAACUAACUCGAUUUUCGUGGGAUAAUAAACCACGACAAUCCUAGAUCGUAUUAAAGAUGUAAACAAGGCGAUGACAUCUAUUAAUUCUCUUGGAAGAAACACACAAUGCGUGUCAUGACGCAGUAAAUAGAUAUUUUGAACAUUUAUGAGAAAGGGAAAUGCGAUUAUUGCGAGAAGUCACGUUGCUGUUUUAUAGCAUGUGUAAAAAUAACGACUCCUCCUUCUUUCUCUUUCACACACACUCACUAACUCAUUCAGUCUCUCUCUCUCUCUCGUUCUAUAUAUUCUAUUUGCUGAAACCUCAUUCUCUCAUCACCCUGGCCAGUCUAGCGAAUAGUUAGUAUAUCUGUCAGCAGUUGCGUUCGGUACGUCAAAUUCGAUCUAGUAAUAGGAAAUAAAACAUAAUUAAGGCUACUUCUGUUGCAAUGCGCGAUUAUCUGCAUUCUGUAGUUACUAAUGCAACAGUACAUAAUACGUGUUGACUGCAUCAUAGUUUGAGGAGUGUACUGCAAUGAACGAGGACAGACAAUGUUGUCAUUCUGUUAGUGAUACAACGAGCGGGGAUUGAAUGGAAAAUAAAAUAGCGUGAAACGAUAACCUCCUAUUCUGAGAAUUUUGAAAAUUAAAAAUAGAGGCUUACGGUUUAAGUGUAUUCAUGCAGUUUUUUGGGUAAUUUGUAUUUUUUCAUUUGUGCGAUAUAAAAAAAUAAAGCAAUGAAAACAA